rnacentral:rRNA from 1 species
GACGAACGCUGGCGGCGUGCUUAACACAUGCAAGUCGAACGGACAGGCCCUGCUUUUGUUGGGUUCUCUAUUGGCGAACGGGUGAGUAUCACGUGAGUAACCUGUCCUUGUCUUUCGGAUAACUUCUGGAAACUGGGGCUCAUAUCGGAUAGGAGCUCCUGCUGCGUGGUGGGGGUUGGAGAAUUUCGGCGGUUGGGGAUCGACUCGCGGCUUAUGAGCUUGUUGGUGGGGUAGUUGCUUACCAUGGGUUUGACGGGUAGCCGGCCUGAGAGGGUUACCGGCCACAAUGGGACUGAGAUACGGCGCAGACUCCUACGGGAGGCAGCAGUGGGGAAUAUUGCACAAUGGGCGGAAGCGUGAUGCAGCAACGCCGCGUGCGGGAUGACGGCCUACGGGUUGUAAACCGCUUUCGCCUGUGACGAAGCGUGAGUGACGGUAAUGGGUAAAGAAGCACCGGCUAACUACGUG